GACGAACGCUGGCGGCGUGCUUAACACAUGCAAGUCGAACGGAAAGGCCCUGCUUUUGUGGGGUGCUCGAGUGGCGAACGGGUGAGUAACACGUGAGUAACCUGCCCUUGACUUUGGGAUAACUUCAGGAAACUGGGGCUAAUACCGGAUAGGAGCUCCUGCUGCAUGGUGGGGGUUGGAAAGUUUCGGCGGUUGGGGAUGGACUCGCGGCUUAUCAGCUUGUUGGUGGGGUAGUGGCUUACCAAGGCUUUGACGGGUAGCCGGCCUGAGAGGGUGACCGGCCACAUUGGGACUGAGAUACGGCACAGACUCCUACGGGAGGCAGCAGUGGGGAAUAUUGCACAAUGGGCGGAAGCCUGAUGCAGCAACGCCGCGUGCGGGAUGACGGCCUUUGGGUGGUAAACCGCUUUCGCCUGUGACGAAGCGUGAGUGACGGUAAUGGGUAAAGAAGCACCGGCUAACUACGUG
rnacentral:rRNA from 1 species